UACGUAGGGGGCUAGCGUUGUCCGGAUUUAUUGGGCGUAAAGAGCGUGUAGGCGGCCAGAUAAGUCCGCUGUGAAAUCUCGAGGCUCAACUUCGAGCUGUCGGUGGAAACUGUCUGGCUAGAGUCCGGAAGAGGAGAAUGGAAUUCCUGGUGUAGCGGUGAAAUGCGCAGAUAUCAGGAAGAACACCCGUGGCGAAGGCGGUUCUCUGGGACGGUACUGACGCUGAGACGCGAAAGCGUGGGGAGCAAACAGG
rnacentral:rRNA from 1 species